GUGAGCACAACUUGUCUGCUCCACUGAUCUCCUAAGGCUCACUUCAGCAGUGUGCAAAGAGAAAAGCUGGAAAAGUGCAUCCUGAUUAUGUGAGCAAAUUGCAUCUUCAACCAUCAUCGACGCACUCCAUUAUUUUCAAAAACAGUUUCUGGCAUCCUCACAUCAUGGUUCCUGUGGCGAGCUACAGAGGUCACCAGUCAGUGAGUCCGACAGGCCCAUGAAUAAGAGAGGACCGUUAUCUGUCCUGACUCACCUGGGGACAUUGCACGAUGAAAUAAAUGGGAGCGUCACCAUAUAUCAAUAAAGGAUGGACACUUGAAAGACUUUGCAGAAGAUGCUGAAGUAAAACUACUUUGUUUCUUUUAAACACCAUCUCAACACACACUAAUGGUCAGACAUGGCAAGAUCACAAUGUGGGGUGCUCGGCAACUGUGUGCAGGCGUGACUCGAGUGCAACGUUUUACAGGUGUGUUUGCAGUGGUUUUUAGUCUUGUAGGUUGUGUCCUAUUUUUUUCCCCCUCCAACUGUGCCUGUCAACCUGUCUUUCAAUCAGCUCCAUCAGCCAAUUGUGUGUGUGGCUUGGAUUUAGUUUCCUGGUUUCAUUCACUCCUUGUCGGUUCAUUGCCCUUGUCUCGUUAUGUUGUGUGUUAGGGUGUUUUGCAUUUUG